rnacentral:rRNA from 1 species
GAUGAACGCUAGCUACAGGCUUAACACAUGCAAGUCGAGGGGAAACGACAUCGAAAGCUUGCUUUUGAUGGGCGUCGACCGGCGCACGGGUGAGUAACGCGUAUCCAACCUGCCCAUCACUUGGGAAUAACCUUGCGAAAGUAAGACUAAUACCCAAUGACAUCCCACGAAGACAUCUGAAUGGGAUUAAAGAUUUAUCGGUGAUGGAUGGGGAUGCGUCUGAUUAGCUUGUUGGCGGGGUAACGGCCCACCAAGGCAACGAUCAGUAGGGGUUCUGAGAGGAAGGUCCCCCACAUUGGAACUGAGACACGGUCCAAACUCCUACGGGAGGCAGCAGUGAGGAAUAUUGGUCAAUGGGCGAGAGCCUGAACCAGCCAAGUAGCGUGCAGGAUGACGGCCCUAUGGGUGGUAAACUGCUUUUAUAAGGGAAUAAAGUGGGUCUCGUGAGACUUUUUGCAUGUACCUUAUGAAUAAGAACCGGCUAAUUCCGUG